GAUGAAAAUUUCAGGAACUUAAUUUUCGGCUCUCCCUUGACACCAUUAGCGAGUAUGGUCUUGAGGAAACGAUGAUAGUCCGUCGGACGGGGACGAUAAAUGGCUGGCCCGUGUUAAGAGAGAGACAUAUCUCUUGCACGUUAAAGACACCCUUGUAGAUUUCGAAAAAGAGUAGGCUAAUGCCGCUACAAGGCAGCACUCGCACCCGC
rnacentral:lncRNA from 1 species